rnacentral:rRNA from 1 species
ACGGCUCACCAAGGCAAUGAUGGGUAGCUGGUCUGAGAGGACGAUCAGCCACACUGGAACUGAGACACGGUCCAGACUCCUACGGGAGGCAGCAGUGGGGAAUAUUGCGCAAUGGGCGAAAGCCUGACGCAGCAACGCCGCGUGGGGGAUGAAGGUUCUCGGAUUGUAAACCCCUUUCGAUCGGAACGAAUCCCCUCCUGGUAAAUAAUCAGGAGGAUCGACGGUACCGAGAGAAGAAGCCACGGCUAACUCUGUGCCAGCAGCCGCGGUAAGACAGAGGUGGCGAGCGUUGUUCGGAUUUAUUGGGCGUAAAGCGAACGCAGGUGGUUUGGUAAGUCAGGGGUGAAAGACCACAGCUUAACUGUGGCAUUGCCUUUGAUACUGCCUUUCUUGAGUAGAGUAGGGGGAAGCGGAAUUCCGAGUGUAGAGGUGAAAUUCGUAGAUAUUCGGAGGAACACCGGUGGCGAAGGCGGCUUCCUGGACUCUAACUGACACUCAUGUUCGAAAGCGUGGGGAGCAAACAGGAUUAGAUACCCUGGUAGUCCACGCCCUAAACGAUGGGCACUAGGUGUGGGAGGUAUCGACCCCUUCCGUGCCGCAGCUAACGCAUUAAGUGCCCCGCCUGGGGAGUACGGCCGCAAGGUUGAA